GGUUAAGCGACUAAGCGUACACGGUGGAUGCCCUGGCAGUCAGAGGCGAUGAAGGRCGUGCUAAUCUGCGAUAAGCGCCGGUAAGGUGAUAUGAACCGUUAUAACCGGCGAUUUCCGAAUGGGGAAACCCAGUGUGACUCGUCACACUAUCAUUAACUGAAUCCAUAGGUUAAUGAGGCGAACCGGGGGAACUGAAACAUCUAAGUACCCCGAGGAAAAGAAAUCA
rnacentral:rRNA from 1 species